rnacentral:sRNA from 1 species
GAAUUAAAGGACAUUGUUCUCUACCUUUGUGAUACCUGCACCACACUUUGGGCCUUUCUGGAUAUCUUCCCUUUGGCUUGCCAGACCUUCCAGAAGCACGACUUUUGUUACAGACUAGCUUCCUUCUACGAAGCAGCAAUUCCCGAAAUGGAGUCUGCAAUUAAGAAGAGGAGGCUUGAAGAUAGCAAGCUUCUUGGUGACCUGUGGCAGAGGCUCUCCCAUUCCAGGAAGAAGCUAAUGGAGAUUUUCCACAUCAUCCUGAACCAGAUCUGCCUCCUUCCCAUCCUAGAAAGCAGCCAUGAGCGCCUUCCUGCAGAACACACAGUGCCUUAUGCCACAGCCGAAGAAUCCGUGGGGCCGGCAAGCAGGCACCUUCCCCCAGCUGCGCUGGUGGGAAAGAGAUGGGGAUGGAGUCCCAAGGCAAGCGCCCCAAACCUCGGGCCACAAGACACCACUUCCCCUUUACCCUGGACAGCAGGAAACCUGUAUAUUCAAAAACAGAAAAAGGCCUGCUAAUAAAAUUUUUGACCCUUUCA